rnacentral:lncRNA from 1 species
CUUGGUAGUUCCGGCAGUAGAAGGGCUUGGAAGGCAGCUGUAAGGGAUCGAUAGCGUCUUCCCUUUAUUCGCAGUGUACCUAGCGGUAGGUAUAACGUUAAGUAUCAAAUAGAGUUGAGUCAUCCUAGAACUUCCCUACCUAACCUUGACAUUCAUUUUAUGCUAACUGAUUCGCUUUCCCGCAUCUAACUUACUUAUACCCACACAGAAACUUCCUAUAUUAUCUAUACAAUCAAAGAUUUUUUCAGAACUCAUAGCCAAGUCUAUCCUUCCCAUCGAUGCUUACCUAUCAAAUACUUCACAUUCCCUAGUGAGACCCGAUCAAAGUAACAUUGUCUUUCACUCCUUGUCUGCUCUCGAUUCGCAAAUUGGUCCGACUUGUAAUUCACUUCUGACUAGUUAUGACCAGCGCAUACGAUUUCCAACAACUUGGCUUUUUGCCCCAGGGCCGAGCCACCGAAUCCACUGCCGAAUGCAUAGAGAGUCUUUCCAAAAGAUCUCUUGGUCUUCCGCCGGACAUAAGGCCGGCUCAUGUUUGGGACUCAUGUGUAAAUGUAGUUCCUUAGAAAUCCCACCUGAGCAUAUCCAAGAAAGACACAAAUGGUUUCCUUACCAUGGAAAGAGCCAAGCUUGGCCUUUGACAGCCUUUUGUGGCCAGUAUCAAUUUUGGGCGCCAGGCGGAGGUGUGGCCACACGAGAGCUGGUGCUUGGAACAUGACGCCUGCUUU